rnacentral:misc_RNA from 1 species
AGGCUUAUAGUUGGAAACAAUUGCCAACUUUACUUAUGAAUUUUUUAAGUUACAAUUAUUUUGGGACAAUUUUUUUGAGUUAAACGACAGGUAAAAUGGGAGAGAGGAAGGGGAGUGUGUAUGCAUUGGAGAGUUCUAAGCAAGGAUGUCUUUCGCAUUAGAAUAAUAUGAUAGGAUGAAGGGAUGGAUGGAUUGGGAUAGAGAAAAAUCUUCUCUCUUUGAGAAGAGAAAUGGUGGACUAUGACGUGGGAUCAAUAUAUUUAGGAGAAUACUGAUGGAGGAGGACAUUGACCUCUCUUCUUUUUUUAAAAAAAAAAAUUGUUGUUUCUUUUCCAAUUAUGUAUUGCAUUGUAGUGCAGAAGUUUGAAUUCAGACAUUUAUUUAUGAAUUAUGCAUUUGCUUUUGAUUUGGAAACUGACAAAAUUUACAUUUCAGAGGAAGCCAAUUAGAUUAUAUCUGUUAGUUUAGCAUUGUGCAAAAGGUAAGAAUUUGUUGACUUGACACCGACUUUAUGGAGAAAAUUGACUUGUACAGCAAUCGCCGUGCAGUGCAGAAGGCGGUCAG